rnacentral:tRNA from 1 species
UCCGGAGUAGCUCAGCGGUAGAGCGAUCGGCUGUUAACCGAUUGGUCGCUGGUUCGAUCCCAGCCUCCGGAG